AGUGUGGGCUGGGGCGGGCAGCAGGCAGGACACGUGGAAACGCAACCGCCAGGAGGAAAGGCGGGACACAGCGGGAAGGGAGGUUUGCCUCCCCUCUCUUCCUGUGGUGACCCCCACCUCACUUACAAAAAUCACCACCGACGUUUGGGAACCGUGCACGCCGACUGAAAGCAAAGCUCAGCUGACCUGCGAGGAGUCCCCGGGGAGCUGCCGCGGUGGUCGCCGUUGAGUCCGUCCGUGCCGCUGGGGCCGAGGCAGCUGGAGAUGUGGUCAACGGGCUGAUGGGCACGGCUGUGGGACCCCAUCAUUCCCCUGCCCCGCAUGACUCUGCUCUCCCAGCUCGACUGCUCACUUCAGACUUCCCUUAUGGAAGGAGUUGCCAGAUAGAGCAAGUAAAAUACAGUGUGCCAGACACAGGUUUAUUUCAACACUGGGAAGGCUCCAUUCCUACUUAAACCCAGCAGGGAACAGGGAGCGGUGUGCAGAGGAGGUGGCCUGCCCGGGAAGCCGGCCUUGGUGCUGGGACUGCAGGGAGAGGGCUGUGAGGAAGAGCACAGGCUUCAUGCACAUUGCACAGAGGAGGAGAUUCAUGGGGACAGCAGGCACUGGUUAGGCACAGCGGGAAGGUUAUCGAAGACAAAACACAUUUCUACCCAAGUUUAAAUGACCUGCUAUGCCCACAGAGCUUGAUCCAGAAGUGCACAGGUAAGUAUUUAGCAGGCUGGCCGAUGUUGAUUUGAACAAUCUCAAGAAUGUGCUCUUUAGUGCAUUAAACAUAUGUGACGAGAGCUGAGCACGUUUAAAAUCUCAGUAACUUUGGGGUUUGUAAGUGUUGUAGCUCAUAGUGUCGGUUAAGGUUAGACAUCUCAGUCACAUGCUGUCUUGGCACCAGCUGUGGACUGUGCUGUGAAAGAGAUCUGUGACCUUGCACCCUGAGAUCUCAGGCUCAAUUAAGAGACAAAACAGGCAAUGCAGUAUCAGUGCAGAUGGGAAAGAGAAAGCAGAAAGUAUGAAGAGGGAAAGGAGGAGCACAAAGGAGUUAGCAUUAGUCUCUACUGAGCAAUUCCUAUUCCAACCACGUCCUAAAUGAUGAGUUGGAUCCUAGCAGAAAGGGAACACAUGUUAUUUUUAACUGAUUUUAACUUGAUUUAUUGUAACCUAUCAGGAGCUCUUAAUAAAUAUGGCUCUUUAUGUUGUUAGCAAGUGUGUUUGAUUUUUGCCACUCUAGGAGGUGAGCUCUGUCCAUGUUUUCAGAGUAGAAAGUGAUCUAUGAUACAAUGAACUGUUUUUAGCUUCAUGAGUUAGAAGUAGGAAGAGGAGAAUGUAUCAAUUUGUUAACUGCCUUUUCCUGUUCAAAAAAAAGCUUUUUCAGCAAAACAUAGUCCUUAAGUUUAAAAAGUCAGUGUUUAUUAUCUGACAGAUAUGUUUAAAUUAGUAAAGAAAACAUUACAUUUUCAUAAACAUUGAAUGAACAUUAUGUGAACAUUGAGUUUAACUUUUGGUUGUCUCUUGGGAAAUUUUUGUCAAUUUGAAAAAUGAUGAAAAGCAUCAAUAAAAGAUGCAAGCAAUUGUGUAAUCUCAAUGUGCUACCGAAGUGGCUCUCUGCUUGGGUAUGAGAAAAGCUAUCAAAGGAAAAUUUGAUUUAAGAAAGGAAAUCUAGGCCAGGAGCAGUGGUUCAGGCCUAUAAUUCCAGCAUUUGGAGAGGUUGUAGUGGGAGGAUUACUUUAAGCCAUAAGUUUGAGACCAGCCUAGGCAACAUAGUAAGACCUCAUCUCUAUAAAAAUAAAAUGGAAAGAAAGAAAUGGAAUCUAAAAUAAAGA
ensembl:lncRNA LINC01558 long intergenic non-protein coding RNA 1558